CCUACGGGUGACAGCAGUGAGGAAUAUUGGUCAAUGGACGAGAGUCUGAACCAGCCAAGUAGCGUGAAGGAUGACUGCCCUAUGGAUUGUAAACUUCUUUUAUAUGGGAAUAAAACGUUCCACGUGUGGGAUUUUGUAUGUACCAUAUGAAUAAGGAUCGGCUAACUCCGUGCCAGCAGCCGCGGUAAUACGGAGGAUCCGAGCGUUAACCGGAUUUAUUGGGUUUAAAGGGAGCGUAGGUGGAUUGUUAAGUCAGUUGUGAAAGUUUGCGGCUCAACCGUAAAAUUGCAGUUGAAACUGGCAGUCUUGAGUACAGUAGAGGUGGGCGGAAUUCGUGGUGUAGCGGUGAAAUGCUUAGAUAUCACGAAGAACUCCGAUUGCGAAGGCAGUUCACUGGACUGCAACUGACACUGAGGCUCGAAAGUGUGGGUAUCAAACAGGAUUAGAUACCCCUGUAGUC
rnacentral:rRNA from 1 species